AACGAACGCUGGCGGCGUGCCUAACACAUGCAAGUCGAGCGAGAAAGUCCCUUCGGGGGCGAGUAGAGCGGCGGACGGGUGAGUAAUACAUGGAUAAUCUCCCCCCGAGUUUGGGAUAACCCCGCGAAAGUGGGGCUAAUACCGGAUAAGACCACGUUGCCCAGGCAAUGCGGUAAAAGGUGGCUUUGUUUUCGGAUGAAGCUAUCACUUGAGGACGAGUCCAUGGCCUAUCAGCUUGUUGGUGAGGUAACAGCUCACCAAGGCUAUGACGGGUAGCUGGUCUAAGAGGACGAUCAGCCACACUGGGACUGAGACACGGCCCAGACUCCUACGGGAGGCAGCAGUGGGGAAUAUUGGGCAAUGGGCGAAAGCCUGACCCAGCGACGCCGUGUGGGCGAUGAAGGCCUUCGGGUUGUAAAGCCCUGUCUGGUGGGAAGAAGGGCUCAGAGACGAAUAAUCUUUGGG
rnacentral:rRNA from 1 species